rnacentral:lncRNA from 1 species
GUUUCCCCGCCCUGCCCCACGCCACUCAAAUGCAGGAUGGCCACUGGGGAGCUGGGACUACAGCUCCCGGCGUGCACUGCGCCAGCAGGAUAGUACCUGGCUACAUUUUAUUCUGAAAAACUUCUUCCUGCCUGCUGCAGCUGACCUUCAGGAUGCUCCUUGGUCUCCCAAGCAAGGUGCCAUAGCUCAGUCACAGUGAUUUAUUGAUGGAAAAUGAGAAGGAGACAGUCUUCAAAAUGGCCAGUCAACCAAAGAAGCCAGUCUGGGAACAUCUGUGUCUUGCCAUUUGAAAACCUCACCUGUUGCUUGCUCCUACAGAGUACCUGGAAACACUGGUGA